rfam:TPA: Bos taurus chromosome 10, whole genome shotgun sequence.
CCUGGUGGCUCAGAUGGUAAAGAAUCUGCCUGCAAUGCAGGAGACCCAGGUUCGAUCCCUGGGUCAGGA